rnacentral:misc_RNA from 1 species
UUAAAUAUUAUAUGUUACUCGGACGGUAUUAACAGAAGAGUUGGUUAUUCUGGCGGGCAUGGUCAGCCGGAGCCGAUGCCUGGGGAGGCAGCCCGCCAAAGAAACAAAGAAGGUAAACACGGGUUUAAGUAUAAUCCCAAGCCAAUCUUACAAUCGGCGCCGCAAACCGUGACCAUAACGCUCGCACUGAAGCCGGCCGUCCCGUGAGACGACCACGUUAAUGGGCGAUCCAGCUUACAUCUCCCUUUCGGAAGCUUGAUGGGCUGCUAAUACGUGGACAAGUAACCUCCCCAACGAGGGGGGUGGGUUCAACUUAUUAAUGAUCCUUCCGCAGGUUCACCUACGGAAA